GCUGCAACUCGCCUACAUGAAGUCGGAAUUGCUAGUAAUCGCGGAUCAGCAUGCCGCGGUGAAUACGUUCCCGGGCCUUGUACACACCGCCCGUCACACCAUGGGAGUCGGUAACACCCGAAGCCUGUAGUCUAACCGCAAGGAGGACGCAGUCGAAGGUGGGAUUGAUGACUGGGGUGAAGUCGUAACAAGGUACC
rnacentral:rRNA from 1 species